GCCUAACACAUGCAAGUCGAGCGGAUGACGGGAGCUUGCUCCUUGAUUCAGCGGCGGACGGGUGAGUAAUGCCUAGGAAUCUGCCUGGUAGUGGGGGACAACGUUUCGAAAGGAACGCUAAUACCGCAUACGUCCUACGGGAGAAAGCAGGGGACCUUCGGGCCUUGCGCUAUCAGAUGAGCCUAGGUCGGAUUAGCUAGUUGGUGGGGUAAUGGCUCACCAAGGCGACGAUCCGUAACUGGUCUGAGAGGAUGAUCAGUCACACUGGAACUGAGACACGGUCCAGACUCCUACGGGAGGCAGCAGUGGGGAAUAUUGGACAAUGGGCGAAAGCCUGAUCCAGCCAUGCCGCGUGUGUGAAGAAGGUCUUCGGAUUGUAAAGCACUUUAAGUUGGGAGGAAGGGCAGUAAGCUAAUACCUUGCUGUUUUGACGUUACCGACAGAAUAAGCACCGGCUAACUCUGUGCCAGCAGCCGCGGUAAUACAGAGGGUGCAAGCGUUAAUCGGAAUUACUGGGCGUAAAGCGCGCGUAGGUGGUUUGUUAAGUUGGAUGUGAAAGCCCCGGGCUCAACCUGGGAACUGCAUCCAAAACUCGCAAGCUAGAGAGCGGGAGCGGUAGGUUGA
rnacentral:rRNA from 1 species